rnacentral:rRNA from 1 species
GACGAACGCUGGCGGCGCGCUUAACACAUGCAAGUCGAACGGAAAGGCCCUGCUUUUGUGGGGUGCUCGAGUGGCGAACGGGUGAGUAACACGUGAGUAACCUGCCCUUGACUUUGGGAUAACUUCAGGAAACUGGGGCUAAUACCGGAUAGGAGCUCCUGCUGCAUGGUGGGGGUUGGAAAGUUUCGGCGGUUGGGGCUGGACUCGCGGCUUAUCCGCUUGUUGGUGGGGUAGUGGCUUACCAAGGCUUUGACGGGUAGCCGGCCUGAGAGGGUGAACGGGCACAGUGGGACUGAGAGACGGCCCAGACGCCUACGGGAGGCAGCAGGGGGGAAUAUUGCACAAUGGGCGGAAGCCUGAUGCAGCAACGCCGCGUGCGGGAUGACGGCCUUCGGGUUGUAAACCGCUUUCGCCUGUGACGAAGCGUGAGUGACGGUAAUGGGUAAAGAAGCACCGGCUAACUACGUG